rnacentral:misc_RNA from 1 species
CUAAGGCUCAGCCUUGCGGUGGCCGACGCCUCUUCCGCCCAGUUUUUCUGGAUGGGAAGAGGUGCGGUCGAAACCCAUGGGCGCGUCCUCGCAGGUCGUCCAGCGUAGCAAGUCUCUCGCUGAACGUGCCGGGGAGGAGGCGCCAAUUGUAUACACGAACGCUUGGCCUCGAAUCAGGUAGGGAUACCCGCUGAACUUAA